ACUUUCAACAACGGAUCUCUUGGUUCUGGCAUCGAUGAAGAACGCAGCGAAAUGCGAUAAGUAAUGUGAAUUGCAGAAUUCAGUGAAUCAUCGAAUCUUUGAACGCACAUUGCGCCCUCUGGUAUUCCGGGGGGCAUGCCUGUUCGAGCGUCAUUAUAACCACUCAAGCUCU
rnacentral:rRNA from 1 species